UACGUAGGUGGCAAGCGUUAUCCGGAUUUACUGGGCGUAAAGGGUGUGCAGGCGGGAUGACAAGUGGUGUAUGAAAUCUCCCAGCUUAACUGGGAUAGGUUAUGCCAGACUGUCAUUCUAGAGUGCGAGAGAGGGGCGUGGAAUUCCGGGUGUAGUGGUGAAAUGCGUAGAGAUCCGGAGGAACCCCAGAGGCGAAGGCGGCGCCCUGGCUCGCAACUGACGCUCAGACACGACAGCAUGGGGAGCGAACGGG
rnacentral:rRNA from 1 species